UCUAGAGAUAGGACGUCCCUUCGGGGGCAGAGUGACAGGUGGUGCAUGGUUGUCGUCAGCUCGUGUCGUGAGAUGUUGGGUUAAGUCCCGCAACGAGCGCAACCCUUGAUCUUAGUUGCCAGCAUUCAGUUGGGCACUCUAAGGUGACUGCCGGUGACAAACCGGAGGAAGGUGGGGAUGACGUCAAAUCAUCAUGCCCCUUAUGACCUGGGCUACACACGUGCUACAAUGGACAGAACAAAGGGCAGCGAAACCGCGAGGUUAAGCCAAUCCCACAAAUCUGUUCUCAGUUCGGAUCGCAGUCUGCAACUCGACUGCGUGAAGCUGGAAUCGCUAGUAAUCGCGGAUCAGCAUGCCGCGGUGAAUACGUUCCCGG
rnacentral:rRNA from 1 species